rnacentral:tRNA from 3 species
GCGCCUGUAGCUCAGCUGGAUAGAGCAUCGGACUUCUAAUCCGAGGGUCCCGGGUUCGAAUCCCUGCAGGCGCGCCA